UAAGUAGUAGUUUAUAUAAAACCUUAAGUUGCAAACUUAAAAAAGAGUUUAACUCCUACUUUU
rnacentral:tRNA from 1 species